GUGGCAGGCCAUGAGGACUCCUGUUAGGUCAGCUGUCCUCCCAGGCCGUGGUCACCGCCUCCCACCUGCCUACCUCUUCCCCCCUCUGAAGGUCUCAGAGAAACACCCAGGAGCCCCCAGAACAUCUCUGAGCCAGAGCUUCAGCAGAGCUAGCUCCUUUCAGUGGCCUUUUCCCAACAUGCUCUGUGUCCCCCUCCCCCAUCGUCUCUGCCUUCUCGUUCCGAAGGCUGCUGGGAUCCUUGGAUGGAAGGCGCUUGGCAGCUCCAUGGGGUUCCCAGGCAGCUGCUGCUCCCCUAGACUCGGAGUGCUGGUAACCUUCGCCCCGAGGCAGCCAUGACCCUUGGGCUUGGAACCAGAACCAUUAAAUUCAUCUCCCUCUUGCUCUCCAAAGGGGGCUGGGCAGGGCUGGAGUCUGGGAGGCAGCUGGACUCCCCACCACCCCGUGGGCCACUCCACUUCUGACUCCCGGCAAGAACAGGGAAACAGCCUGGGGGGAAGCUCUCCGUCCUUCCUGGAGAUGGCCAGUUCACCUGCCUGGGAAACCCAAGCAGCUUCUCCUCUGUCAUCUGCCAGAUUACCCACACCCCCAGCCGACUUUCCUGAGUACUGAAUAUUAAGAUCCGUGCGUUCCCGGACAGGGAGGGGAGAAGCAGAUUCCCGAGGAGACCCAGCCACAGAUGAGUCUCAAAACAGACCAUCCUCAUGGGAAUGUCUGAGAGGCUGCUCUCUGAGAAGGUUUUCAAAAGGAAGCGAAUGAGUUGAGUUGAGUUGAAGUGCUCUGUGCGUUCAGUACGUUCUCUCUGGGAAUAGUUGGAGUAUUUUGAAAUAUUUGAAGACAAAACUAGUCGUAAAGCAUCAAUGCUGGAAGGGGACUUUGAGAACACCGAAUGUAAACCCCUCUCUGUAGAUGAGGAAACCGGAACCCCAUGGGAGGCAGGCUGCAGCUUCACGACGGCACACCUCCUCACCAACACGGGAGGCAGAGCUCCUUUGCCCAGAACCUCCUCACCCAGCGUCCCUCACCUCGGCUCCCAGCUCCAGGAGAGAUUUCUGCCCAGUUGCUAUUUUUAUGCACCUGCUAGGUGUGUCCUUUUUGUAUGUGUCAUUAUGUACAUUUUAAUGACUUAUUUCCCCUAUUAACCUAGAAGCUAGAAAAAAUUGAGUCUUUCGGGUUUCUUCUUGUAAAGCCCAUGUUAAUGACUCAUUACCUAAUGACUUCUAACUACCCGCCUCCUGGCAGCCCCCUCAGGUGUUCUCCAGAACUAGGCACGGUUCAAGUGCUCACUCUGCCACUUUCCAGCUGUGUGAUCGUGGGCAAAUCACUUCCUGCUAGAAGUGGCACCAAGGAGUAGCUGAGUGGCACUAGGGGAAGGUCGGCAUAAUUGUCAUAGCCAACCCCCCAAAACACACAAUGUGUAAAGUAAAACAAUGCAUAUCGAAACCCAGCGUCAGGACGAAUCUCCUGGUACCCCUGCAACCCGAUUAGAACUCAUAAAUUAAAUUGAUUAAAAUUCUGGAGCUGAUGUUGCUCCCUUACUCUCAAUCUCCUCACCUGGAAAAGCAGGGAAACAAUAUCUUACAGGCUUGUUAGGAAAGUUAAGUAAGAUAGUCCGUGUAAAGCACUUAACAUUUGAAAAACAGUUCAAUCUAUGUUAACCCCAGGUCCUGUGACUGGGAUUAGGGAAUCAAUGACAAAUAAAACCUGGUCCCUACACUUGAAUGCUCACAGAUCCAUAGAGGAGGCAGUCAGGCCGUUCAAUGAAGACUGUAUGACACGAUUGAUAGAGUAACAGCAGGAUGAAAAAGACAGCGUGAACCAGAAGAGGGAACAACUAUCUCAAGCUGUUUAAGGAGGUCUGGGAAGAUUUCACAGAGGAUAAAAUGCUUGAGCAAGAACCUGGAGCAUGAUAGGAGUUUCCUGGGCAGGCAUGGGGGUGUCACAUGAGUCAGAAGGAACACCCUAUAAAAACCAGAGGCUUUAAACGUCACGGCACCUUCAAGGUGCGUGAUAGUGAAGUGAGGGAAGUGAGAAAUGGUGGGCAGGGAGGCUGGAGAAAGAGCGUGGAACGGAGGAGAGGGCACGAGCUUUGGAGUCAAGACUU
ensembl:lncRNA